rnacentral:tmRNA from 1 species
GGGGGCGAACUGGGUUCGACCGGGUAGAUGAAGCGUAAGUCGCGUGUCGUGGUUGAUCAGUGGGCCACGUAAAAAGCUGAUCACAAUGUCAAUUGCCAAUGGCAAUUACGCUUUGGCUGCCUAAAUAAAGGCGCCCGGACUAAGGGCUGAAGUCGGAUUGGCCCGGACGUCCGUCACCAAAUCCGAACCGCUGCGAGUCACUGCCGGGUACGUUCGCAGUUAAAAAAGUUCUUGGCUAGCAAGCAGGUAACCUGGUCGACUGGGUGACCCGCAAGUGAAAUUAAAUCAGUCGGCUACACACGUAGAAGCUUGCGUGGAGCUAUGUCGGGACGCGGGUUCAAUUCCCGCCGCCUCCAC